rnacentral:ncRNA from 2 species
UGAUUGAAUCCAUCAAUCGGUUUCAGCAGGGAUCAGCUGCUGAAGGAAACGGGGAAAGUUCGGCGAAAAUCCGGCACUGUCCCGCAGCUGUAAAGCGCAACCACCCUUCUUAGAGCACUUGCGCGAGUCAGAAUACCCGCCGAAUUUCCAUCGACGAG